GGGGGAUAGUUUAAAAUGGAAAAACACCGGUGCUGCUCGCCCGGAGAUGCAGGUUCGAGCCCUACUCCUCCA
rnacentral:tRNA from 1 species